GAGACCCUGCCUCCUUGCAACCUGAGGCCAUGGAGGAGAAUGGAACUAUUUCUGCUCUCUCAACACCUUGUGACCCUGAAACUUCACACCCUACUGUGGCUUCAGAAGCCCCUCUACCUCCUGGGCUGUUUCCCCCGCCUUCUGUAUCAUCUCUUCCACUGUACACCGCAAAGGUGUACUGUCCACCAGUGUACACAGGGCCUGGAACUGCAACACCAACCACAGUCUCAAAAUC